rnacentral:rRNA from 1 species
GACGAACGCUGGCGGCGUGCUUAACACAUGCAAGUCGAACGGAAAGGCCCUGCUUGCAGGGUACUCGAGUGGCGAACGGGUGAGUAACACGUGGGUGAUCUGCCCUGCACUUCGGGAUAAGCCUGGGAAACUGGGUCUAAUACCGGAUAGGAGCCAUUUUUAGUGUGAUGGUUGGAAAGUUUUUUCGGUGUAGGAUGAGCUCGCGGCCUAUCAGCUUGUUGGUGGGGUAAUGGCCUACCAAGGCGGCGACGGGUAGCCGGCCUGAGAGGGUGGACGGCCACAUUGGGACUGAGAUACGGCCCAGACUCCUACGGGAGGCAGCAGCGGGGAAUAUUGCACAAUGGGCGCAAGCCGGAUGCAGCGACGCCGCGUGGGGGAGGACGGCCUUCGGGUUGUAAACUCCUUUCGCUAGGGACGAAGCUUUUUGUGACGGUACCUAGAUAAGAAGCACCGGCUAACUACGUG